AGCGGUUCCAAAAGGGCUUAGUCGAAAGUUCCACUUACAGUGGUGCGAGCCUUACACGGUCCUAAACCGUCUUGGUGGCACGAAUUAACACGUUGAGCCCGAAUUAGGAAAUCGGAAACCUAAAGAGGUCCACCGCAAUCAUCUGAAAUCAGCCUCUUGCCGACCAAGAGUGGAAGAAGACAUGUCCACGUGCUGCCCAAAAGAAACCC